GGGGAGGUAGUUUAGUGAUAGAGCGCUCGCUUUGCAUGGGAGAGGCCCGGAUUCGAUCUCCAGCAUCUCCG
rnacentral:tRNA from 1 species